GGCUGGUUGGCUCAGUUGGUUAGAGCGUAGUGCUCACAACACCAAGAUCGCUGGUUCGAUUCCCACAUGGGCUA